AACGAACGCUGGCGGCAGGCCUAACACAUGCAAGUCGAGCGAGGACUUCGGUUCUAGCGGCGGACGGGUGAGUAACGCGUGGGAAUGUGCCCUUCUCUACGGAAUAGCCCUGGGAAACUGGGAGUAAUACCGUAUACGCCCUAUUGGGGAAAGAUUUAUCGGAGAAGGAUCAGCCCGCGUUGGAUUAGGUAGUUGGUGGGGUAAUGGCCUACCAAGCCGACGAUCCAUAGCUGGUUUGAGAGGAUGAUCAGCCACACUGGGACUGAGACACGGCCCAGACUCCUCCGGGAGGCGCGGGGGGGUAAUCUAGGCCAAUGGCGCCACCCCUGAUCCACCCCUCCCGUGUGAUUAAUGAGGCCCUUAGGGUUGAAAAGCUCUUUCAGCUGGAAAUAUAAUGAGGUUACCAAAAGAAGAAGCCCCGGCUACCCCCGCC
rnacentral:rRNA from 1 species